AUUGAACGCUGGCGGCAUGCCUUACACAUGCAAGUCGAACGGCAGCGCGGGGCAACCUGGCGGCGAGUGGCGAACGGGUGAGUAAUAUAUCGGAACAUACCCUAGAGUGGGGAUAACGUAGCGAAAGUUACGCUAAUACCGCAUACGCACUAAGGUGGAAAGUGGGGGAUCUUUCGGACCUCAUGCUCAUGGAGUGGCCGAUAUCUGAUUAGCUAGUUGGUGAGGUAAAGGCUCACCAAGGCGACGAUCAGUAGCGGGUCUGAGAGGAUGAUCCGCCACACUGGGACUGAGACACGGCCCAGACUCCUACGGGAGGCAGCAGUGGGGAAUUUUGGACAAUGGGCGAAAGCCUGAUCCAGCCAUUCCGCGUGAGUGAAGAAGGCCUU
rnacentral:rRNA from 1 species